AGUGAACGCUGGCGGUAGGCCUAACACAUGCAAGUCGAACGGCAGCACAGUAAGAGCUUGCUCUUACGGGUGGCGAGUGGCGGACGGGUGAGGAAUACAUCGGAAUCUACUUUUUCGUGGGGGAUAACGUAGGGAAACUUACGCUAAUACCGCAUACGACCUACGGGUGAAAGCAGGGGAUCUUCGGACCUUACGCGAUUGAAUGAGCCGAUGUCGGAUUAGCUAGUUGGCGGGGUAAAGGCCCACCAAGGUGACGAUCCGUAGCUGGUCUGAGAGGAUGAUCAGCCACACUGGAACUGAGACACGGUCCAGACUCCUACGGGAGGCAGCAGUGGGGAAUAUUGGACAAUGGGCGCAAGCCUGAUCCAGCCAUACCGCGUGGGUGAAGAAGGCCUUCGGGUUGUAAAGCCCUUUUGUUGGGAAAGAAAAGCAGCAGGUUAAUACCCCGCUGUUCUGACGGUACCCAAAGAAUAAGCACCGGCGAACUUCGG
rnacentral:rRNA from 1 species